UACGGGAGGCAGCAGAAAAUCUUUCACAAUGGAGGCAACUCUGAUGGUGCAACGCCGCGGGGAGGAUGACGGUCCCAGGAUUGUAAACUCCUGUCAUUGGGAAGAAAAACUUAAGCGUUAAUAGCGCUUACGUUUGAUAGUACCCAAAGAAGAAGGGACGGCUAACUUCGUGCCAGCAGCCGCGGUAAU
rnacentral:rRNA from 1 species